rnacentral:rRNA from 1 species
GAUUCCUACGGGAGGCAGCAGGCGCGCAAAUUACCCAUUUCCGACACGGAGAGGUAGUGACGAAAAAUAACAAUACAGGUCUCUUUCGAGGCCCUGUAAUUGGAAUGAGCGUAUCCUAAACCCAUGGGCGAGGACCCAUUGGAGGGCAAGUCUGGUGCCAGCAGCCGCGGUAAUAAU